rnacentral:rRNA from 1 species
GCUUGUCUCAAAGAUUAAGCCAUGCAUGUCUAAGUAUAAAUAUUUUACUUUGAAACUGCGAACGGCUCAUUAUAUCAGUUAUAGUUUAUUUGAUAGUCCCUUUCUACUCGGAUAACUGUAGAAAUUCUAGAGCUAAUACGUGCGUCAAGACCCUUCUGGGGUCGUAUUUAUUAGAUUGAAACCAACCCCUUCGGGGUGAUGUGGUGAUUCAUAAUAAGUUUGCGGAUCGCAUGCCUUUGGCGGCGACGGAUCAUUCAAGUUUCUGCCCUAUCAGCUUUGGAUGCAUAGGUAUUGUCUAUGCAUGGCUUUAACGGGUAACGGGAAAUUAGGGUUUGAUUCCGGAGAGGGAGCCUGAGAGAUGGCUACCACAUCCAAGGAAGGCAGCAGG